rnacentral:rRNA from 1 species
UACGUAGGGGGCGAGCGUUGUCCGGAGUUACUGGGCGUAAAGCGCACGCAGGCGGUCUGUGAAGUUUGGAGUGACAGUUGGUGGCUCAACCACCAAAGUGCUUUGAAAACUGACAGACUUGAGGGCUUCAGAGGGACACGGAACUCCGAGUGUAGAGGUGAAAUUCGUAGAUAUUCGGAAGAACACCAGUGGCGAAGGCGACUCACUGGCCCGAUACUGACGCUGAGGCGCGAAAGCGUGGGGAGCAAACAGG